UGGACCAUUGAUAACGAAUAGUGGCAUAUGAGUCAAGGAUGAUGAGUAAUAUGUGUCUGGACAUCUGAAGUCCAA